UUCAUGCAUAUUCUGUUACAAGUAGGUUAUGUCGUCAUAAGCGUUUAUUCAUUUCUAAUGCAGUUUAUAAUCAUAAAAAAGAUGGAAAUAUUCUAUAAAUCUAUGAUUAUUGCGUAUUUUACAAUGUAUCUUGUUGUGCUGUCGGACACUUCUUAUACAGCGUGUUCGUGUCCCUGCAAUACUGUUGGAAGAACCUGGCAACAUUUACUCAGUUUAAACCUGACGGAACAGGAAUUGGUUAUGUACUUAAAUGAAUAUAUACAAGACCUGCAGCAAAACAUUACUAUUGAUCCUAAAACCACGUCUUCGUAUAUUAAUUCCAAAACGUCGGCACCUGACAAUCGUUCUUCCUCUGCUGUGAUUGGCUGGUUUGGUGGAGUAAUGAUGUGUGUGCCAAUAAUUUUAUGUCUGUGUUCAGAUUUCUGCCGAUGUUCUCAUGGCAAGAAAUCGAAAGAAGAGUAAUGAUACUGUAGUGAUUUUCGUAUGAUUUUGAUAAUGAUAAAAGCUCCUACGGUUUCGAUGAUGUGUACUUAAAAGAAAUGUUAGUAAAUCAAGUGACAAUGUAAAACCUAUAUUCGUUAGAUUUUAACUGAACACUAUACUCCUUUCUAUCAUAAUAGAAAGAAUAAUACGAUGAUACUUGAGUUUUCCCUUAAAUAAUCGGAUGCAAAUAUCAGGAUCAAGAGGGUUAUUCCUCAGUAAACUAAAAUUAACUUCGAUUUCUAAAUAGGUGGAAAAUGAUAAGUAAAUUAAUUCUUUUCCACUGUCACCAUAUAAAUAAAAAUUGUUUCUCCGCAAGGACAAUUUUGAUUAAAAGUUUACAAAAAAAGUUUUGUAAAAAGUAAUGAUUAAAACAACUAGAAUUUUCUUUUUUAAAUA